rnacentral:rRNA from 1 species
UACAGAGGUCUCAAGCGUUGUUCGGAUUCAUUGGGCGUAAAGGGUGCGUAGGUGGCGCUGUAAGUCGGGUGUGAAAUUUCGGAGCUUAACUCCGAAACUGCAUUCGAUACUGCGGUGCUUGAGGACUGGAGAGGAGACUGGAGUUCAUGGUGUAGCAGUGAAAUGCGUAGAGAUCAUGAGGAAGACCAGUGGCGAAGGCGGGUCUCUGGACAGUUCCUGACACUGAGGCACGAAAGCGUGGGGAGCAAACAGG